AGCGAACGCUGGCGGCAGGCCUAACACAUGCAAGUCGAACGAAGUCUUCGGACUUAGUGGCGGACAGGUGAGUAACACGUGGGAACGUGCCUUUAGGUUCGGAAUAACUCAGGGAAACUUGUGCUAAUACCGAAUGUGCCCUUCGGGGGAAAGAUUUAUCGCCUUUAGAGCGGCCCGCGUCUGAUUAGCUAGUUGGUGAGGUAAAGGCUCACAAAGGCGACGAUCAGCAGCUGGUUGGAGAGGGUGAUCAGCCAAGUUGGGACUGAGACACGGCCCAAAAUCCGACGGGGGGCAGCAGUGGGGAAUUUUGCGAAGUGGGCGAGAGCCUGACGAAGCCAUGCCGGGUGAAUGAUGAAGGUUUUAGGAUUGUAAAAUUCUUUCACGGGGGACGAAAAUGCCGGUACCCGGAGAAGAAGCCCCGGCUAACUUCGUGCCAGCCGCCGCAGUAACAC
rnacentral:rRNA from 1 species